UACGUAGGGUGCAGGCGUUACUCGGAAUUACUGGGCGUAAAGCGUGCGCAGGCGGUCUUUUAAGUCAGAUGUGAAAUCCCCGGGCUUAACCUGGGAACUGCGUUUGAAACUGGAAGGCUAGAGUGUGGCAGAGGGGGGUGGAAUUCCACGUGUAGCAGUGAAAUGCGUAGAGAUGUGGAGGAACACCGAUGGCGAAGGCAGCCCCCUGGGCUAACACUGACGCUCAUGCACGAAAGCGUGGGGAGCAAACAGG
rnacentral:rRNA from 1 species